UACGAGAGGCCCAAACGUUAUUCGGAAUUACUGGGCUUAAAGAGUUCGUAGGCGGCGCGGAAAGUAGGGUGUGAAAGCCCUCGGCUCAACCGAGGAAUUGCGCUCUAAACUACCGUGCUUGAGGAAGCUAGAGGUGAGCGGAACUGAUGGUGGAGCGGUGAAAUGCGUUGAUAUCAUCAGGAACACCGGAGGCGAAGGCGGCUCACUGGGGCUUUUCUGACGCUGAGGAACGAAAGCCAGGGGAGCGAACGGG
rnacentral:rRNA from 1 species